UGCACUUUCCUGGACCUUUCUGCACAUCUUAGAAUACAUCAGUACUUUUUCAAAAAGUAAUUUGAUUCUCCCCCACAAAGCGGGUUCUUCCUAUCAAUCCCCCCAUCUUGUGGCAUGACAUUUUCUUCAUGACAGUCUGUCUCUGAACUGCACUUGCUGCUGCGGUGGUUAAAAGGCUUACAAAGAGAGUCUAACAGCCAGUGGCCAAUCGAGAUUGUGCAAGCCACAUCUGCUAUGGAUGAAACACGCACGAGGGAGAAUAAGGACUUGGAGGAAGACUGGAUAAAAGGGCUGCGGCGGGAACCUAGCUGGCAGAAAAAAAGUUUCAUCCUCAAAACUGAAGGCAAGGAGUGGUUUUGUUUUUCCUGGUAAAGCUCUUGUAAGCUUAAGAAUUGAGAAAAAGUUAGAAUUCACUUGGAGGCUGUCCCAGUCCUUGCAGCAAGAUAAACAUGAAUCAAUUGACAAUUUGAGUGAAUAAAGGACUUACUGGAUCCAUAUGGUGUGAAGAAUCCCAAUGUAAUGGAGGAAAGUUAAGAGGUGUUUGUGUACUGUUCUUCUGUUUGUCUCCUGCUUUAUGUGGAGAAAUUGCCAACUCAAUACUACAAUGGUUCCUUUAUGUUUUGUAGGACGUGAAACUGAGGAUAGGAAGAAAAAGUCAUGGUGGCUGGAAAUAUGAAAUGUUGACAAUAAUUAGAACUGGGAGUAUGCCAGAUCCUCCCAACAAUGUUACCAUAUUAUUUUUGUUGGAAUAAAUUAUGUGGAAUAAAUUUUGUACUCGAAAACAAAUGGGAUUGCUUUUGACACUCAUCUCCAAAAUGAAUUUACGAUGGGGGACGGAGUCUACUUCAGGUCAAGGUGUUGGUACCAUCUCCUGUCUUUACCUAGAUUAGUUGUAUGGGCCAGUAACUAAUUUCUAAUAUUUGUAUCAGCACUUUUGACUAAAACAAAAGUUCUGGACAUUCAAAGUAUUCACGAAUGAAAGAAAGGUGAAAACUCAAGCUAAUUGUUGAUUGAGGCUUCUAUCCAGAUUACCUUCCUCACCCAAUCCUUUUUCCUCUGAUCUGUGACUUUUUGAAGGCAUAGCUCCAGGUUUAGUGGCAAGUAAUUUUCCUUUUCCCACCUAUAUUUUUUGCUUUAUAUGUUCAUGCACCACUCUGAAACCACAGAGGAGGAACCACUUGGCUCCUUGCCUGAGUAUCAGUGACACUGUCUCUAUCUUCUCUGAACCUUGACAAGGAGAUACUUUUAAGAAAUAACUUGUUUGAGUGCUGUAAAAUAACCCUCUUUAGUGAUUCCCCCCAAGGUUGUUCUGCAAGUAUUUUCCCACUCAGAAAAAAAGAAAUACUUAUUCAGCAGCAUUAACCUCAUUUUCAGUUGGGUUUGUGAUGUUCUCACAUAGUUAGAUCUGAUUUGCUAUGCUGUAUACUAGCAUCACAUUGGCUGGAAUCACUUACAAGUAAAUUUAUAAGAAUGCCAGAAAAAAAAAUGCCACCAAAGCAGACACAGAACAGAGUAACAAAAAGCAUGUGGCGAAUAAGGUGAUUUGGAAAAUGGGCUUGGGAAAUAGUUUGACAACUCCCAAAGUAUCACUUUUAUCCUGAUAAAUGAAAUGAGUGAACAACCUCAGUUAGCACAGCAGUGUGCACUUUCAACUAUGAAUUUUCUCUUCUCUUCUGUGGGCUGUAGGCAGGCAAGCAUCUGAGGUACAGAAAUAUGAAUCACAGCAGGCUUGGCAUCAGAGAUGGAUUGUAGCACGGUGGGGGGUUCAUAGGAAGGUCCAAGGUGGUUUUGAAGAAUUUCAUCCAAGAGGGCUGAAGCAGAAAGGCAGGAAAACCAAUAGGAAAUCUGGCACACUACUAAGAAUAUAAAAAAGAAAUAGGCUGUUUGAGAAGCAGAGAAACACAAGGCAACGUUGGGGGCCACACAAGUGAGGGCAGAGUCUAGCUGUUGUUCAGGCAAAGAAACUCUAGCAUUGAUAACCAAGAAGAAAAUAAUAGAGUGCCUGUAAGCAGAAAGAAUAAUUUCUUCUUGAUCUUCUGUUCUGUGUCAGUUGG
rnacentral:lncRNA from 11 species